rnacentral:rRNA from 1 species
AGCGAGCGCUGGCGGCAGGCUUAACACAUGCAAGUCGAGCGGGCCUUUCGGGGUCAGCGGCGGACGGGUGAGUAACGCGUGGGAACGUGCCCUCUGGUUCGGAAUAACUCAGGGAAACUUGAGCUAAUACCGGAUACGCCCUUUUGGGGAAAGGCUUGCUGCCGGAGGAUCGGCCCGCGUCUGAUUAGCUAGUUGGUGAGGUAACGGCUCACCAAGGCGACGAUCAGUAGCUGGUCUGAGAGGAUGAUCAGCCACACUGGGACUGAGACACGGCCCAGACUCCUACGGGAGGCAGCAGUGGGGAAUAUUGGACAAUGGGCGCAAGCCUGAUCCAGCCAUGCCGCGUGAGUGAUGAAGGCCUUAGGGUUGUAAAGCUCUUUUAUCCGGGACGAUAAUGACGGUACCGGAGGAAUAAGCCCCGGCUAACUUCGU